AUGGGCCAAAUAUUUGCAACUUCCACUGGCUUUGCUUGUAAAAUCAAGUCAUGUAGAUCCAGGUGUUCUUUCAUAUUGUACUUUGCGGCCAAUAUCCCUCCGUGGAAGAGGUCACCCGUACAUACAUGUACAUGGAAUAUGGAGGAGUUCUCAGCGUGGAGAUUUCUAGGCAUUCCUGCAGCCUGCUUUAGACAAACUCCCAUCACAUCCUUGGUUGCUGCUGCAGGGACAUGGAGGUGAAGGAUUCCUGUAUAGUGCCUCCCCCAAACCAUUUUUCAUAGACAGCUCAAUCUAUGCCAGCAUUGCCAUUUUACAGUGAGCAUUAUUUGGGAUAACAGAAGGCUGGGGUGUCUGUCUGAUGCCUGACUCAUUCUUUAUGGAAUCAAAAUGCAUCAAAUUUAAUACAAGUUUUUGGGUUUUGCUCUUUUUUUUUCUCUGAAGGUAAAAAGAAAAUCUGUAUGACUUUGUGCAAAUAUCUUGCAGUGUACUAUUCUGUUUAGAUUGUUGUUUUUGUCUCAUCUUUAAACAACUACAUAACUCUCAGAAGCAUGAAAUGCAUUUGCAUUUUGCUAGGCAAAGCUAAAGCAAAGCAAAAAUGAGAUUUUACACUGAACAUGAAUGUCACUCAUUGUAUAAAAAUUGGCUCUCUGCUGUGUAUUCACAUCCUUCACCAGCACCUUUCCUGGUAAGUCAAGACUGCUAACGUGCUGGUUCUUAUCCUACACCACUGAAGAAAGAUCAGAUCUUAACUGAGGACUACAGGAAGCUGAAGAAACAUCCCAAAAAUCUCAUUGUUAAGUUUCCACUAAAAUUAUUCUUCUCUUUGUUUUUCCUUAUGACAUUAGCCUGAAAAUCACACUGGACUUCUCUCUMUAYAUAUAUAUUCUGUUUUCUCAUGUAGUGAUUCUGAAACUUUGGUGUUUGUGAUUUGUGCUGCCAUGGCAAGUGAUCUAGGAAGCUCACAAAGUUUAAAGCUGCCCCUCCUUCCCCCNNNNNNNAAAAAAAGACUUUCCAUAUCAGUGGCCAUGUUGGUCCUGCAGGAAAGGUAGGUGUUUUCAGUGAUCUGAAAAACUGGGAACUGCUGUGUUAAAAGGCAGGAGUGAAAAACUCCUUAGAGCAACAGGUUAAAAAUGUUAAUACAUCAGGCAACCUUUUCAUUCCUUACCCAGAGACAAGAAGUGUGCAGGAACCUCUCAGAGGUCUCUAAUAAUGAGAGGUCCUCUUUUUUUUUGGGGGGGGG
rnacentral:lncRNA from 1 species